UACAGAGGGUGCGAGCGUUUAUCGGAAUUACUGGGCGUAAAGGGUGCGUAGGUGGUUCGAUAAGUCAGAUGUGAAAUCCCUGGGCUUAACCUGGGAAUUGCAUUUGAUACUGUCAAACUAGAGUGUGGUAGAGGUAAGCGGAAUUCCCGGUGUAGCGGUGAAAUGCGUAGAUAUCGUCAAGAACACCGAUAGUGUAGACAGCUUACUAGACUUCAACUGACGCUGAGGCACGAAAGUGUGGGGAUCAAACAGG
rnacentral:rRNA from 1 species